rnacentral:rRNA from 1 species
GACGAACGCUGGCGGCGUGCUUAACACAUGCAAGUCGAACGGAAAGGCCCUGCUUUUGUGGGGUGCUCGAGUGGCGAACGGGUGAGUAACACGUGAGUAACCUGCCCUUGACUUUGGGAUAACUUCAGGAAACUGGGGCUAAUACCGGAUAGGAGCUCCUGCUGCAUGGUGGGGGUUGGAUAGUUUCGGCGGUUGGGGAUGGACUCGCGGCUUAUCAGCUUGUUGGUGGGGUAGUGGCUUACCAAGGCUUUGACGGGUAGCCGGCCUGAGAGGGUGACCGGCAACAUUGGGACUGAGAUACGGCCAAGACUCCUACGGGAGGAAGCAGUGGGGAAUAUUGCAAAAUGGGCGGAAGCCGGAUGCAGCAACGCCGCGUGCGGGAUGACGGCCUUCGGGUUGUAAACCGCUUUCGCCUGUGACGAAGCGUGAGUGACGGUAAUGGGUAAAGAAGCACCGGCUAACUACGUG